UACGUAGGGGGCUAGCGUUGUCCGGAUUUAUUGGGCGUAAAGAGCGUGUAGGCGGCUAGGUAGGUCCGUUGUGAAAACUCGAGGCUCAACCUCGAGACGCCGAUGGAAACCAUCUAGCUAGAGUCCGGAAGAGGAGAGUGGAAUUCCUGGUGUAGCGGUGAAAUGCGCAGAUAUCAGGAAGAACACCCGUGGCUAAGGCGGCUCUCUAGUACGGUACUGACGCUGAGACGCGAAAAGCGUGGGGAGCGAACAGG
rnacentral:rRNA from 1 species